UGGGCACUCUAAGGAGACUGCCGGUGACAAACCGGAGAAGUGGGGAUGACGUCAAGUCAUCAUGGCCCUUACGGCCUGGGCUACACACGUGCUACAAUGGUCGGUACAAAGGGUUGCCAAGCCGCGAGGUGGAGCUAAUCCCAUAAAACCGAUCGUAGUCCGGAUCGCAGUCUGCAACUCGACUGCGUGAAGUCGGAAUCGCUAGUAAUCGUGAAUCAGAAUGUCACGGUGAAUACGUUCCCGGGCCUU
rnacentral:rRNA from 1 species